GAAUGAGAGUGAGGAUGAGAUUGAGAGAGAGUACUGGAGGGGAGGAUGGGAGGGAGAGGUAAUAAAAGUGAAACAAAAACUUGAAAGUGAAAACAAUUUCAAAUAUAUUUCAGUUUUUAGUUUUUGUUUUCACUUUUAUUACUCCUCCCCUUUCAUCUUCCCUCUCAAUCUCAUCUCAACUUUUAUUCU
rnacentral:miRNA from 1 species